CUCUGUUUUUCUUCUCUUGAUUUUUUCCUUCGUCCUACCCGCUCAGCAUCGCUUAUCUGUGCGCUUCAGCUUUCCCUUUUCCUUGACUACCCAAGCCUCCUACCCAUCACCUCAGCACCGGUAACGAUGCCAUCUCAGGUGCACGUGGACCCGAUAGCGCGCACCGGCAGUGAUGCCUCGGAGGCGAGCAGCAGUGAGGUGGACAUGGUUGCCGUCAUGACGGAGAUGACAGUUGCGGAGCGCCGCCGCGUGUACGCGCUGCAGGGUCUACUGAAGGAGUACUACGAGGUGCGCCAGCGCCUGCGUGCCGAGAUUGCGGCGCUGGCCAACGAGUGCGCCGCAGAGAACCAGAAGCUCUUCGCUGUUCGCAAGGAAAUAGUCACGGGUGCACGCGACAUCACGGAGGAGGAGAUGCAGCGCAUUGGUUGCACGGCGGCGCCGACCGAGCCGGAUAAGAAGGAGGAUGCUGCGCCCGCGAAAAAGGGUGUGAAGUUUGUUGAUCCGGUGGAUGAGAAGCAGAACAGCGCACUGGUAAAGGCGGCGGCGAGCCCGUCCGGCGGCAUCCCGGCGUUUUGGCUGACUGCCAUGAGCAACUCGGAGGCUGUGAACAGCAUGAUUACGGAGAAGGACCGUGACGCCCUCAUGCACCUUACUGACAUCGAGCGCGGGUUUGUCGAGGGUGACCCGGAGAAGGGCGACCGUCUCGUCUUCCACUUCUCCCCCAACGAGUACUUCACAAAUGAAACGCUCACGAAGGAGUACCACACCGAGUACGACGAGGACCACGGCGAGCCGCGCAUCACAGAUGUAGUUGGCUGCGACAUCAACUGGAAGUCCUCGAAGAAGAACCUGACCGUGACAGUCAAGCAGAAGAAGCAGCGCAACAAGAAGACCGGCCAGAUGCGUGUCGUGGAGCGCGAAGAGCCGUGCGAGUCCUUCUUCAACUUCUUCUCCCCGCCCAACCCGGACGAUGAUGAUGACGAGGAUGGCGACGAUGAGGACUUCCUCGAGCAAGAGAUGGAGAUGGACGUCGAGGUCGGGACGGCGCUGACGCAGGCGGUGGUGCCGCGCGCCAUCUUCUACUACACUGGCGAAGCUGUGGUGGAGACCGGCAAGGAGCUCCGCGAGCAGUACGGCUUUGGAAACAGUGAGGACGAGGAGGACGAGGAGAGCGACAGCGAUAAAGAGGACGAGGACGAGGACGAGGCGCCAGCUGGCGCAUCGAACUUCCGCAACAUCGUCCGCCAGCGCGGCGGCGGUGCUACGCCUGGUGGCCGCGGCGGGCGUGGUGGUGCUGUAGGUCAGCAGCCUCCGCAGCAGGAGUGCAAGCAGCAGUAGCGAAUCAAGAGGGGCAUAGUGCUCAGGCCUUCCCUUGCCCCCCCCUCCUUUCCCUCCCCAACCUCAUGAUGACACCCUCGCUUCUCUUUUUCUUAAAGGCACAGUGCGAUCACGAAGAUGUGAAGCGCCAAGCAGUGUUUUCUUAACUAAACCCCUGCGCCACACACACACACACGCACACACGCACGCAUAUAAGCACGCUCGUGAGUGCGCGCUCACGUGAGAUAAAACCCGAAGACGUGGCCUGGGUGACGUGGCAGCUUUCCGUGUUGCUCGUAUCCCCCCCCCCUCUUCCUCCCCUGCCCCUCUCUCUCGUGUACAUGUCCGCGCAGGCCGUCUCCUCUUUCUCACUCAGGCCCUCCAUACGAGCAAGCGCGGAGCUGUGUUUGGCCAAGCAAUCGACAGGUAUUCGCGAGACUAUGGCAGCAGCAACGACUCCUUGCUGCCUCCUCUCUCUCCCUCUCCGCUAUCGGAAAACUCGCGGCACCAAUCUGUGAAGAGGUAAAGCCCUCCCCACUCCUCCGCCCUCCGCGCUACCUUCAUAUCCGUCUCCGAUGAUCAUUAUGCUCGCUAUAUCCUCACCGACUUAGAUCUGGGCUCGAGACCUUCUAUCUUCUUAUCUGCGCCUCUCCAUUUUUCUCUCUUCCGCCUCCUUUUCUCUCCCGCCCUGCAUGCUUCCCUCUAUCCCUCUCUCGCCCUUACUGGACUCUUGCAG
rnacentral:misc_RNA from 1 species